rnacentral:rRNA from 1 species
AGAACGAACGCUGGCGGCAUGCCUAACACAUGCAAGUCGAACGCUUUUGGGGCUUCGGUCCCAAAGGAGUGGCGCACGGGUGAGUAGCGCGUGGGAACCUGCCCUGUUGUGGGGGAUAACCGAGGGAAACUUCGGCUAAUACCGCAUACGCACGGGGGAAACUCCGGGGAAAGAUUUAUCGCAGCAGGAGGGGCCCGCGUCGGAUUAGGUAGUUGGUGGGGUAACGGCCCACCAAGCCUGUGAUCCGUAGCUGGUCUGAGAGGAUGAUCAGCCACACUGGGACUGAGACACGGCCCAGACUCCUACGGGAGGCAGCAGUGGGGAAUAUUGGACAAUGGGCGCAAGCCUGAUCCAGCAAUGCCGCGUGAGUGAUGAAGGCCUUCGGGUUGUAAAGCUCUUUCGCACGCGACGAUGAUGACGGUAGCGUGAGAAGAAGCCCCGGCUAACUUCGUGCCAGCAGCCGC